rnacentral:rRNA from 1 species
CACGUAGGGCGCAAGCGUUGUCCGGAAUUAUUGGGCGUAAAGAGCUCGUAGGCGGUCUGUUGCGUCCGCUGUGAAAACUCGGGGCUUAACCCCGAGCCUGCAGUGGAUACGGGCAGACUAGAGGUAGGUAGGGGAGAAUGGAAUUCCCGGUGUAGCGGUGAAAUGCGCAGAUAUCGGGAGGAACACCGGUGGCGAAGGCGGUUCUCUGGGCCUUACCUGACGCUGAGGAGCGAAAGCGUGGGGAGCGAACAGGAUUAGAU